AGCAAAUGUCUUAGUGUCCCUCCAGACAUACCACUGUGCCAAGAACACACUCUGCUAGAAUAAUACAGCCUCAAGGAUCCCUUCCCCCCUACCUUUCCAAUCCAUCUCCAGCCCUUGGAGUCAGGUCUGAUUCAAGUUCCAAGGAGUACAAUGAUAGCAAAGCAAAGCAAAGCUUGAACAUACUCUUUUCCAGUGGAGACAAUCAAGGACUUGGAAUCUUUUAUAAGCCAAAAUUUCUGCAGGACAUCAAAAAAGAAUCCGGUUCAGGACACAGAUCAAGACGCGUGCCUCUGAAGGGUCAGUUCCAGUCCUCUUAUGGCUCAACAUCUAAGGCUCAGAAUCUCAAAACCUUUGAAACGUGCCCCUUUCAGCCAGCGAAGUGUGUGUACCUCUGGGAAGGGAACAGUAAAUAAUGUGGAUGAUAGCACACUUGUCCCAGCCUUGAGGUUCUUCUCACAGCUCCCAGGACUUGGAAGCCCUCAUCCUCUCUCUGAUAAGGGGAGAGAUAAUCCCUCCUUGGCAAGGACUAAAAAAGCAGGUUAAUUAGCAGUUCUUCUCUGCACCUGGCAGAUGGCAAGCUAAAAAGCCAGUAGUGGGUACCCUCCAGGAAGAAGUGUCCUGUUCCUAUUUUAUUUUUAAAGCCCUACUUUCUAACAAAGUUGAACUUAAACCUGAGCUCAAGUAUAUUAUCACUAACCACAAAGUAAGAUCAAUCAGGGAGGGUUUUUGGAGGAGGAGGAGAAAAGAGGAAGAAGUGUUUGAAGAGGAGAAAAUAGAAUAAGCAGAGAAAGAGGCGGAGACCAUCUACAAGCCAGAAGAAAUUACUGUAAAGUCAGAAAGGAUCUCAAAGUACAUCAAGAGAGGGAAUGCACACACCAAUGAAUGAAAGAUUGGCCCAAGUAUGGAGGGCAGUUCAAGAGAUGCGGUGAGAAUGAUUUAUUUGGAUUAAAUCAUUCUAUAAAUUAAAGAGAGCGAUUUCUUUAUUGGAGGAGUAAAUU